UACAGAGGGUGCAAACGUUGCUCGGAAUUAUUGGGCGUAAAGCGCACGUAGGCGGUCUGAUAAGUCGGAUGUGAAAGCCCUCGGCUUAACCGAGGAAGUGCAUCCGAAACUGCCAGGCUUGAGUAUGGAAGAGGGUCUCGGAAUUCCCGGUGUAGAGGUGAAAUUCGUAGAUAUCGGGAGGAACACCAGUGGCGAAGGCGGAGACCUGGGCCAAUACUGACGCUGAGGUGCGAAAGCGUGGGGAGCAAACAGG
rnacentral:rRNA from 1 species